CGCGUCUCUCUGAGAGCUGAUCUGAGCUGCUGCUAAGGACCGAAACGCGCCUCAAGCUGUCACUUGCCGCCUGGAGUUCGUUGGGAAAGUUGAAAAAGCCUAGUCCUGUUUAGGAAAUCUAUCCAGCUGUGUAUAUACUUUUUGCUUUUAGGGUAUGAAGCUCAGGAAGGAUAAGAAAAACAAGAUCACACAGCUGGCAAGUGGCAAAGCAGGACACAAUUUAUAACUCCAGAACGAGAAUUUGCAGUUGUUGCGCCAGAUGCCCUGUAGCGGACCUCUCUGCAUAGCCAUGACUAUUCCUGGAACUCACUAUGUAAACCAGAGAUCUGCUUGCCACUGCCUCUCAAGUGCUGGGAUUAAAGUGGCUCGUCUGGGUUCAGGAAAGUAUAGCUCCAGUUUAGUGUUCUUAUGGAUCAUCGACUGUACCCAAGACCAGAAACGGAAACAACUAGAUCAUCUUCAACUGAAGAACGGAGACAGAAACGUGAUACAGGUACACAAUGGACUACUUUUCAGCUAUGAAAAAUAAAGACAUCAUGAAUUUUAUAGGGAAAUGGAUGAAUCUUAAGAAUACCAUCCUGACCUAGGAGUCUAUCAUGGAUGUCCUCUGAGAGGCUCUAUCCAGCAGUUGACUCAGAAAGAUGCAGGCACCCACAACCAAACAGUGGAUCAAGCUUGGGGACUCUUAUGGAAGAAUGGCAGAAAAGAUACACUUCCUAAGGAGAUAGGAACUCCACAGGAAGACCAACAAAGUCAACGAACCAGGACCCUUGGGGAUCUCAGAGAUCAAACCACUAUUUAUAUUAAAACAUUUUAGAAUUUAACAAAUGUUAAUUGUUCUUUAACCAUGUGUAGCUAGUAGUACUACGAACAGGAAAAAAUGAAAUAUAAUUUUUUUCACAUAUUUUUAUGAAUGUUAGCACGUGGUUUGUCUAAGGUGAUUUUAGGUUUGAAAUAAUCAACUAAAUGGAGAAAAAUGAAAAAAAGGGAAAGUAUAAGUUUUAUUAGGCACUAGGCAAAUGAAAUUAAUGAACCAGAACAAAAGUCAAAAGUGCACUGUACAGUGGAAAGGACAUCCCCAGAGAUGGACGAGAGGCUGAGCUAACAAUUCAUGAACUGCUACUCACACUUUUACAUAUUGCAUAUGAAUGAUGAACAAUACAGAAAUGGUUUUACUGGACUUGGGCUAUGAAUUUUCCAAUAGAGUUCAGCAAACCCUCCCCCCCAAAAAAAAGCCAAAUUAAAAAUGGAAAGCAAAGGGGCUGGAGAGAUGGCUCAGUGGUUAAGAGCGCUGACUGCUCUUCCAGAGGUCCCGAGUUCAAUUCCCAGCAACCACAUGGUGGAUCACAACCAUCUGUAAUGGGAUCCAACGCCCUCUUCCGGUGUGUCUGAAGAGAGUGACAGUGUGCUCAUAUAAAAUAAAUAAAUAAAACUUUUUUGAAAAACUGGAAAGCAAAAAAAGAAAAGAAAAGAAAAAAAGAAAAAGAUAUGUAUUCAAUGUAGCCACAUUGGAAAGAGGGUCAAAGAACCCCAGGUUGGGUCUCUGGGAUCCUGAAAUGUGACUGAAGCCUGAAGUUUAAAUAGAUGGCUAAAAAGGUGUACACCGAAGAACUCUCAUUUAAGGUGUGGUUGCACCCACCAUUAGCCCUUCAGUCUCCUCCUGUAGGUGGUCUGACGAGUUGUUAGAACUGUGUGAAAUCUUGUUCGAAGGGACAAGUUUCCCUCUCUGUUGCCUUUCCCUUCUACAAGCAUGAGAUUUCUGGAGAAAUUGCUUUUUCUUUGCAGUCCAUUGUUUGAAUAGCCUGAUAGACUGAGAGGCACAGGGGUCUUUGGUCAUUUCUGCUAGGCCCGUUGCAUUCUUUCUUAACUUUAGAAAGAAAACCUUCACCACUCACACUUGCCUAGAGAUCCUGAGACUCUCUGAUACGCUCUCUUUCUUUCAGCUUUAUUUUUGUUUUUGUUGCUUUGUUUGUUUGUUGAGACAGAGUCUUUCUAUGUAGUCCUGGCUGUCCUGGAGCUAGCUUUGUAGACCAGGAUGGCAUUAGAUUCACAGAGCUCCUCUUGCCUCUGCCUCCCGAGUCCUGGGAUUAAGUGUGUACCACCAUGCCCAGCCAGGUCUUUUCUGUGGAUAACCUUGCUCUACACAUCUUGUUACCUCCCAGAUGGUGGAUAUAUGGAAAUUUUCUUUCCUUUUUUGACCCUGCAGAGUGAUAUCAUGGGUUAACAGCUUUACUUUGGUUUUCUCUAAAGUGGUUUUCUGAAAUCAUCUACAUAAAGGCUUCUUGAAUUUUUUUUUUCUACAGGAAUUUUUCAUGUAAUAUAAAGUAAGCAUAUACAGCAAGCAUUUACUGAUAAUAAAUACCGAGGAAUAUAUUUUAAAAUAAUUCCUGAGUAUACAUGUAAUUUUACCAUUUAUGAAAGCAAAUUUACAUGCUAAUGAAGUAGAUUUGCUUAUUUAUUUUUACAUAGAGAAUUAAAUAUCUGGACAUAGUGUUACAUGUCUUUAAUCACAACACUUUGUAGGCAGAGGUAAGAGGCAGGUAGAUCUCUAUGAGUUUGAGGCCAACCUGGUCUACAUAACACAUUUUAGAACAGCCAGAGGUAAAUAAUGAGACCCUGUCUUGCAAAGAGCAGAAAGAGAAUUAAAUAUACCUGCUAGGGAAGAUACAAUAGUGGCAUGAAUGAAGGGGUAACCAUCAACUUUCUGAUUGGAUUUGAAGCCUGCUCCACAGUAGGAGAUUAAUGCUUGUCAGAGUCCAUUGCUUUAGGAGGUCAUAGGACCUGGAGGGGAAAUCCACUGCUGUGAAUUUACUAAAUGGACAUGAUGUCAAACUGCCUUUAAGUAUUUACAUCUGUACCUGUGGAUCUGUGCUCUUGAAACUUCUUUUUGCAGUGGAUAGUGGUUAAUGUAAAGUCGUAACUGAUAAGCUUUCUGAGACUAUGUGAAUAUGAGUGUUUGGCCCUAAGAUGGACAUUUAUAUGAACCUUCCCAAAGAAUCGAGGAAUAUCUCAAAGAGUAUAAGAGCCUGAGCAAUAGAGUGGAGUGCUGUGGAAUCAGUUUUCUAGACAAGGAAUCCUUUUGUACUUAGGAGUUAUGGUUUCCUGCACAAGACCUAUACAAGAUCAAGCCAAUGAACACCGUAGCAUGGAUGAGCAAGAAGCUCACAAGGCCACACUCCUAGCUGGGGAACUAUUGGUGGUUCACAGACACUGGGCAUUAGGAAAGUAAUUCUUCCUUGGGAGGGUGGCCCCUGGUACACUGUCCCAGUGGAUGGCCCUAAACUUAUUUACAUCCUCCAAAAGUUCAUGUGUUUGAACCACUUUCUCCAGCAAGACUGUCAUAUAAAGGCUCCAAAGCCUUCUGAAGCAGCAUUACCAGCAAGGGACAAGUGUUCAGACAGGAGCCUGUUGGAGACGUUCCACAUUCAAACCACAGCACAUAUCCGUGUAAUUAGUAUGCAAAGUUGAUUUAUUCUCCAAUGUAAAUUAAAUCCAUUCCAGGUAUCUUAGUUAGAGCUACUAUUACUGUGAUGAAACACCAACACCAUAGCCAAAUUAACUUGUGAAGUGGGGAGGGAAGAGUUUAUUUGGCUUGCACUUCCAUAUCACUGUUCAUCUUCAAAGGAAGUUAGGACAGGAACUCACACAGGGCAGGAACCUGGAGGCAGGAGCUGAUACAGAGGCCAUGGAGGGUUGCUGUUUUCUGGUUUGCUUCCCAGAGCUUGUUUGCCUGCUUGCUUAGAGAACCUAGAACCACAAUCCCAGGGAUGACCCCAUCCACAUCAGUCAAUGGGCUGGGCCCUCCCACUUCCACAUCAAUCACUAAUCAAGAAAGUGCUCUACAGGCUUGUCUGCAGCCCAGUCUUCUGGAGGCAUUUUCUCAAUCGGGGCUCCAUACUCUCAACUGGCUCUAGCCUAUGCCAAAUGGACAGAACAUUAGUCAGUACACCAGGUCCAUGAGAUGACUCAGUAGGUAGAGGUUGCUUGCUGCCAAGACCAGUGACGGGAGUUUGGUCCUUAGGAUCCACAUGGUAGGAAGAGAAGUGAUUCCUGCAAGUUGUUGUUGGAUCUCCAUACAUGCUUUAUGGCAUGUGUAUGCAUAUAUACACAUGUAUACUCAAUAAAAAUAUCAUAAGUAUAUUUAAAAAUUGUCAGCUGGGCAUUGGUUACACACACCUUAGAUCCCACUAUUCUAGAGGCAGAGGCAGGUGGAUCUCUGAGUCUGAGGCUAGCCUGGUCUACAGAGUAAGUUCCAGGACAGCUGGGGAUGUACAGAGAAACCCUUCUCAACUCCCUAUGUCUUUAAAAUAUAUCUAUACAAAAUAACUGUUUUAAAGUAAAUUUCUUUAUGAUUCCUUCCCAGCAAAUGCUUUAUUUGUGUAUCUGUCUUAUAAACUAUAUAUAAAUUACUGAGGCAGGGGCUGAGGUUGUGAGGUAGCUCAGUGGUAGAGUACUUGUAUGCCUGAAGGGGGUUCAAUCAUCAGCACCAGAAACAAAUUUUGAGUGAAAAUGGGUUGCAAGUGGAAAAUAUUUAAGAAGUGCUGAACUCAAUUCAAGGAGCAGCUCUGUUGGAAUUGUCAGCAACAGCAGGUCUUAGGUGUGGAAGGAACCACAUUAGCAAGUUAGGGAUCCUGUAGGUGAAUCUGAAAUGCAUGAAAUGAAAUGUUAGGACAUGCAAAUGUGUAAACAAACUCUGCUUUCUGCGCUGUCCCCCUAAUAAAGCUCUAAUGUAAUGACUUAGCAAAUAUCAGCAGGGAUUCCAGACAAAGUUCCUCCAGUGGGCAGAAGGACCCCUUCCUUGGGUUGCAGCCUGGAAGGGUCUGGGUAGGAAAUGCACCUGACCUGAGCACAUGACUUCUUUUCUCUCUUCUCUUCCCUUUCCCCUCCCCCUCCCCCUCCUUUUCCCUCCUCUUCUCUUCCUUCUCUUCUCUUCUUCUAAUUUCCGUCCCCUUCCCUCCCCUCUCUUUCCCCCUCCCGCUUCCUUCCUUCCUUCCUUCCUUCCUUCCUUCCUUCCUUCCUUCCUUUGCAAAGACUCAAGAGCUAUCUGAAAAAGCUGCCACUGAGCAGUGAAGCAAAUAACAUUGACAAUUAUGCUACACUGAAACCAUAUCCACUAUGCUUACAUCUGACAGUUUGGAAGAAAACACAGUUGCUGUCUUUAGCAGGUUGGAAACCACAUCCUCUGGACAGUCCUGUUUUCUUCUACAUUCCCAGGUGUUUGGGAAAGAUGCCAACUUUUGUUGAAGGACGUUCUAAAGGUGUUCCAGUUAAGUGAGAUGAAAGGAUGGAUCUAUUCAGCAUUGUGGAGGUCCUAACAGAUCAAUGAAUGGAUGGCCUUCUCCGAUAUCUAAAUGAAUGUUGGGCAUUAGAUAACAUCACAAAAGUGCAGAUACCAAAACUCAGGGUAAGGGAAUGUUCUUGAGCAACAACCUCUUUUCUUCAGUAAAGAAUGGGAGAAGAGGGAGCGCUCCGUGAAUUAAAACAAGCUAAACACUUACCUCCAUCAACCUCACGGAUGCCUUUAGCUAUCAGGAAUCCAGCCAAAUAAGCCAUGAGAUAACUGGGGAAUUAGAACAGUGGUCAGACAUAUCCUCAUAUCAGGAAUCACUCAAUUUUAAAUGUGUGAUAAAUGGGCUGGAGAGAUGGUUCAAUGGCGAAGAACACUUGUUGGAGAGGUUUGGGGUUCAGUUCCUAGCACAUACACAGUGGAUUACAGCUGCCUAUGCCUCCAAUUUGAGAGGAUCGAACACUUUGGGCACUGCAUGCAUGUAGUACACGUACAUACCACACAGGCAAAACAUUCAUACCCAUAAAAUUAAGAUACAUGAAUUAAAAAUAAAAUGUUACCAAACUUUUCACCUAUUUCAGUGAACAGCAAUGCUCUUAAGAAAGCGGUAGCCUCCAGGUUACAGUCGGGAGAGUUCUCCAUUUACAAGGUGGAGUAAGUCAGACAGUCAUUCAGGAAUCCACACACAAAUAUCCAAAGCCUGCAUAAUAACAACAACAAAGAGUUAUGUAGAAGAUAAAUAAUGAGAGGCCUGUCGUCAACUGAAAGAUGCAGUGAUAAAAAUCACAGUAACACAAUCAACAUGGUAUCGGCAUCAGGGCAGACAAAUCAGUGGAACCGAACAGUGAAUCCAAAAAUAGAUCUCAGCAUAUAUCAUAAUUUAAUAUGUGACAAAGGCAGUAUUUCAAUUCUGUGGGAAAGAAUGGUUUAUUUAAUAAGCAGUGCCGGUGUACCUGGCUAUUCAUCUAGAGCAAAAUGAACUUGGCUCUCAAUUUCACAAGUCUAAAAACAGAUUCUAAAUGGAUUAAAAAACGCCAGUGUAAGCACUAUGCCUUAGAGAAACAUUCAGGUAACUACAUUCAAAUGUGGGUGACAGAGAACAUGUUCUAAAAAACUAAAACCAGGAACUUGGGAAAUGGGAAAUGUAUGGUAACAAAAUUCAAAACCUUUAAAUGGCAAAAGAUGCCAAGGCGAGUCAUGUCAAAACUUGUUUAGUGAAGCACGUGAAACACAGAUAAGUCGUGAUGGGGUAUCUCUCACACACAGCAAAUCCAGAGAAACUGGUAAAGAAAAGAUAAAACAUUGCAUUAUUUUUUUUAAGGGGCAAAAGGUAACAGGGAAUUCACAGAAUAAGUCCAAGUAACUAAUAAACAUGUCAAAGAUUUUUAAACUCACCAUCAUUUUGGGUAUUGCAAAUUAGAUUAAUAAUGGAUAUCUAGCCAGAUGUGGUGGCAUACACCUAUAAUCCCACACUCAGAAGGUAGAGGCAGGAGAAACAAGGCUAGCCUUAUCUACAUAGUGAGCUUGAUUUCAUCCUGGGCUUCAUGACACUCUGCCUAAAAACAUCAAAUAAAAAUACCCCCACUAAUUGUGAGGCAUUAUAUUACACCCAUGAGAUUAAAAACAUUCAAAAGACUAUUACUAUUGCAGUGUUUGUGAAGCUGUGGACUGUUACUGUCUAUGGAGAGAAAAUGUCUUAAAAACAUCUAUUAAAGAAUCCACACAACCUUUGACCCAAUGAUUCAACCCCUGGGCAUGUAGAAAUAAUUAACAAGCCAAUAUGGAAGGCUUUGUGCAAAAUGGUAGUAGCAAAGAAUUAAAAGCAAAGUGAAUGCAUAACCAUGAGGGAACAGUUUAAUAAAUCUCUCUUUUUGCUGAAUUUGCAAAUAUGGCUGAAUAGUGUCUCUGCUUCAUAAAAUACUAGGCUUCUACUUCCAAGGUAGAAUUGGAACUUCUUGUGAACUAGGAUUCUCACGAGCGUAGAGUGAGAAGGGAAAGCCACUGGAGCCAUACGGCUCCUGGAGAUAGACUGAUGUACACUGGUGUGUGUGUGUGUGUGUGUGUGUGUGUGUGUGUGUGUGUGUGUGUGUUUACAUUUGUAAGCAGACUUCUAUCUGUGUGUGGUCACAUGAGCUUAAGGACAAUGUAAGAUAUGAACGACAUAGGGUUAACAGUGUCUCUGCCUCUCUGGGGUAAGAUUUGGGUUGAUGCAGUAGUGAUUUAUGCCUUUAAGCACUCAUGAGGCCUCGAGGUCACCCUGUUCUACAGAGAGAGUUUCAAGACAGUCAGGACUCCACAGUGAAACCAUGUCUCAAAAAUAAACAAAACAAAAGAACAAGAACCUAUUGUGAUAAGCUAUCCAUGCAUCUGCGUCUUAAUGUGUUUAUCAUUUGCCUUUCUUAUCCCUGUGACCAAAGUCAGGACAAGAAGCAACUAAGGAAGGAAGGGUUUGGUUUGAAUUGCACUUGGGGUGGGGCGGGGGCAGGGAAGUCAUGGUGGGAGAAGCAGCUUUCAGUUUUGAUGACAGGAUCUCUUGAAGCUGCUAGCUCACGUCUAGGUGUAACCCAAAGCAGAGAAGAGACAAGAAGUGGAGUAGGCCAUAAACUUCAAGUCCACCAGACCUCUCCCAGAGGACCGCUUCCUCCAGAUAGGCCCUACUUCUCAAUGAUUCAUGGCUUCCACAAGUAGUACCACUAGUUGGAGGCCAAAUAUUCAGAUAUCUGUUCCUAUGGGAGAAACUUUGCAUCCAGACCACAAUCCUAUGUUUAAACAUUGUAUGUGUGUGCAUGUUUGCAUAUAUAUAUAUUUGUAUGUAUAUUUCAUGUACAUGUACAUAGAAUAAUACACACUAUAUUAGAACAAGAUGGAAUUAACUAUACCCAAGUAUUUGAGAAUGUGAUUGAUAAACUAUUAAAAUUUUUAAAAAUGUUAACAUAUGUGAUAAGAUUGUUUUCCUGACAAAGUGGACAUAUGCAAAAAGGUCUACAGAGCUGGGCUAUAUAAAUGCUUAUGAUACUACUGAGCCAUGCAAAAGAUAGGAAAGGACAAAUGCCUUGUUGUUACUGUGGUACCCUGAAGGGAGUGGAGGUGGGGACAAUAAUGGAUUGUUUCUUGUACACAUAGCGGUGCGGUUUUACUUGUUCAAUCAGCCU
rnacentral:lncRNA from 1 species